rnacentral:rRNA from 1 species
GACGAACGCUGGCGGCGUGCUUAACACAUGCAAGUCGAACGGAAAGGCCCUGCUUUUGUGGGGUGCUCGAGUGGCGAACGGGUGAGUAACACGUGAGUAACCUGCCCUUGACUUUGGGAUAACUUCAGGAAACUGGGGCUAAUACCGGAUAGGAGCUCCUGCUGCAUGGUGGGGGUUGGAAAGUUUCGGCGGUUGGGGAUGGACUCGCGGCUUAUCAGCUUGUUGGUGGGGUAGUGGCUUACCAAGGCUUUGACGGGUAGCCGGCCUGAGAGGGUGACCGGCCACAAUGGGACUGAGGUACGGCCCAGACUCCUACGGGAGGCAGCAGUGGGGAAUAUUGCACAAUGGGCCGAAGCCUUAUGCAGCAACGCCGCGUGCGGGAUGACGGCCUUCGGGGUGUAAACCGCUUUCGCCUGUGACGAAGCGUGAGUGACGGUAAUGGGUAAAGAAGCACCGGCUAACUACGUG